rnacentral:lncRNA from 1 species
UAGUCUGCCAUGGUGACAUCAGUUGUCAUGACACAGCCAACUUGGUCACCCUCUUGGACCGUAUCCUCUUCUGCUUCAAUAUUUCCAUCCUUCUCCGACUGAGGAACAGUAUUCGUGGCAGUCUCCUCUUCAAUUACCCCUUGUGGCAGUUCUGCACCCUCAUUCAUUUCCAGAUGACCUUCAUUGAUGGGUGGUGUUGUGUUGCCAACUUUAGCCACCUCAAUUUUGUUUGCUGCAUUUGAGUCAUAAAUUGCGUCUCCCAAAGGGCAUUCAACAAAUCCCGUUUCAUGGUUACUCUUCUCAGUGACCAAUGGAAGCUCAACAGUUCCCUCUAGGCCAGAACCAGAAUUAGGCUCACUCGUGGCCACCUGGCUAACAUCCAGGUCUCCAUUGCCUUGCUCAUCUUUUGAUUCUUCCAACACAGGCCCCAUGUCUGCUGCAUGAGGCUCUACACUUUUCUCUUGUACUCCAAUGGUGUCAUUUUCUGAUUUAACUUGGAGUUCCUCCUCAAAAGACAUGGGUUCUGAAGUGUCCUCACCUUGGGAUUCAACUGAUGCAUCUGCCUCCGGUGGACUCUGAGAUGGCUCUGUCAAAUUGGAAGUUUUAUCAGAGUUGUCUUCUGAAGAGUUAUCCUGAAGACUUUCUGUUGCCUCCUUGUCUUUCUCCUCAUCUUUUCCACCUGCCAUGCAUACAUCAUUUGUUAAGUUCUCCACAGACUUAGCAGUUGACUCCUCAACAACAGACACUUCAGGCUUCUGGUUCAUUAGAGAAUCAAGCUUCUCUUGCAGGCUUACAAGCUCCCUUGCCAAUGAUUUUCUGAAAUUCCUGAGAUUUGGGUGCAAGCCCUGCUAAACACAACAACCAGUUAAGAAACUGUAUAAGAAAAAGCUGAAAUAUAGGGAACUUAGAAUCUUAGUAAGCACGAAUACUGAGAAGGGCAGAACUCCCAAACUGCAUUAACAAAAGGACUAAUGCAUUUUAAAACCCCAUAUAUACUUCAAGACCAAUUACUUCAGGUUUCUUUACAUAUAAGCAUGUGUGUCUGUGUGCAUGGGCUGCUUAGGGGACUGAUUUCAAGAUCCCCUGUUUUUGAUAUUAAGACGUGGACCUUUAUAAGUUUUAUUCGUGCAUAUGGGAUCUGUAGAACAUAUUGGUUGAUGUAGUUGAAAUCUAAGUUCAUGUCUAAGAAGCCUAAUUAGGCCUUCUAUCCAUUUUCAACCAAUGGGAACAAGCAUAAAAUACAUGACAAAAGGAAAGAAGCUAAAAGUGUAAGCAAUACACAUACCUGAAUGGCAUCCAAUUUUAGCAGGAGGCUCAUUAUGGUUUCUCCAAUUAUCACUCUUUGUCUAUUGUCUCUCUGAAGAUCAGAGAGAGAUUCCAGGGCCUGAAUGCGAUUCCUGAUCUCAUCUGCUUCCUCACGAACUUUAGCCAGUUGCUUCAAUUUCUUCAAUGGCUCCCAUUUCCUCACUUCAAAUCCACGAUAGGCAGACUGGAUGAUCACUGCAGCUUUUGAAUCAGACAAGUUAUUUUUCUCUGCUUUGGGUGCUUUAUCAGAUUUCUUCUCUUCCACCUCACUCCCCGCUUUAUCUUCUCCUAUCUUGCAUUUACAACCAUCUGAUUGGAUUUUAUCCAUUGCCUUCUGCUCUUCAAUUGCCUCCUCAGAUAUCUUACUUUGAGCAUUUCUUUCCCCAUCCUUUUUAGCUUGAUACUCACCACCAGCAACCCCAGGUUUUUCUGCAGUUAAGUCAUCAGACACCUCUGUGCGAGGAUCAAUUGGCAAGUUCACAGGAGACUGUGAAUGAGUCGGAGUCGGAAUCUGAUUCUGAGACCCACAGUUAGAAAUGUCGUCAACUUUUUGUUCAGCUGUCUGAUCUACUACCUUAACAACUUUUAGCUCCUUUUUGUUUGGCUCCAGUCCGUGGCUCUUGUUAAUGGUAGUCUCUUGAGAGCCUUUCAAUCCUUCUGAAGGAGAAGAAGCCUUUAUAGUGUCAUUUGAUGUCUCUUGUGAUUUCCCUCUCUGACCAGGAGGACUAGGGGACCUCGAACUGCCAUUCCCAUUCUUCUUCUUAGGCAAGGGAUCUACUCUCAGACAAACAGGAGGUAACUUGGCCAUCCUUGGGGAGGACGGAGACUGCCUUUUAGCACUGUCUGAAGGUUUCUUCUUUCCACCAUCUUCUCCAUGUUUAGUGGCAUUGCCUUCCCACUUCCCCACAAAGUUUUCUGAGGUAUUCUCUUCCCCAUGUGCUUCUCUUUCCUUCACAGGAAUAUUGUUUUGAUUACCAUUUUUCUCCAUGAUCUUCAAGCCACCCUGGCCUCCAGAAUCUUCUUCAGUUGCUCUAGGUUUGUUUCCACCAUCACCAACUUCUGGGAGCUUCACAGGAAUAAUCUUGAAAUUCAAACUUGGCUCUUCCGCAGGCUUAGAAGCAGAGUUGUUCGGCUUGUGCUCCUUCCCCUCACCUUCCUCUGUUUUUUCAAAAGGAGGCAUCCAAAUUAUAGGAAAUGGGAAACGAGCAUUCUUGUCUUCACUUUGCUGAUUUCUCGUCCCUUCUCCACCCUGCUUCAAAGAUCUGAAGCCGUUUGAAUCAGGUGGAAACCACCUGUUCCAAACGCCAGGUUCCCACUCAAUAGAUUUGUUGAAACUCUUUGGUGACGUUGCAUCAUGUGCUUCCUGGCGAUUCUCACUCUGCUCCUUCGUAUCUGGAUCGACUGGUGCUCUAUUCUCCCCAUUCUUCAUGUACACAGGUGGAAUCCACACAAUUGGAUAUGGGCAAUCUUUCAACCCAGCUGGAACCAAGGAUUCCCUCUCCUUCUUUCCAUCAUCUGCCUCGUGUUCUUCAAUCUUAACAUUGUUACCUCCCUUCCGAUUAAACCCAUGAUUAGGGAGCCCGCAACAAUGAUGAUUUCCUGAAUCAUUCUUCUCAUAUUCAGGUCUAGGCUGCUCCAUGGAACAAUAAGGAGCAGGGGCAUGAUGAACAGGGUAUGGCUCCGGGUACAUGGGACGGCACCCAUGCCAAUGAAAUGGCAUUGGUGGUGCCAGCUGAUGGUAAGGUAGGAAACUAUAGUAACCAGGGAAG